GGUGAGGUGGCCGAGUGGCUUAAGGCGCACGCUUGGAAAGCGUGUUAGGGCUUACCCCCUACGCGGGUUCGAAUCCCGCCCUCACCGCCA
rnacentral:tRNA from 1 species